CCUACGGGUGGCAGCAGUAGGGAAUUUUCGUCAAUGGGCGCAAGCCUGAACGAGCAAUGCCGCGUGAACGAGGAAGGUCUUCGGAUCGUAAAGUUCUGUUGAAGGGGAAAAAGAGCGGAGAGAGGAAAUGGUCUCCGAUUGAUAUUACCCUUCGAGGAAGUCACGGCUAACUACGUGCCAGCAGCCGCGGUAAUACGUAGGUGGCGAGCGUUAUCCGGAAUGAUUGGGCGUAAAGGGUGCGUAGGCGGUUUGAUAAGUUAGGGGUGAAAUGUCGGGGCUCAACCCCGAAACUGCCUCUAAUACGGUUGGACUAGAGAAUAGUUGCGGUAGGCGGAAUGUAUGGUGUAGCGGUGAAAUGCUUAGAGAUCAUACAGAACACCGAUUGCGAAGGCAGCUUACCAAACUAUAUCUGACGUUGAGGCACGAAAGCGUGGGUAGCAAACAGGAUUAGAUACCCCUGUAC
rnacentral:rRNA from 1 species